rnacentral:rRNA from 1 species
UACGUAGGGGGCAAGCGUUGUCCGGAAUCAUUGGGCGUAAAGAGCGUGUAGGCGGCUUGGCAAGUCUGGUGUGAAAUCUUGCGGCUCAACCGCAAGCGGUCACUGGAAACUGCCUCGCUAGAGUCCGGAAGAGGAGAGCGGAAUUCCUGGUGUAGCGGUGGAAUGCGCAGAUAUCAGGAAGAACACCCGUGGCGAAGGCGGCUCUCUGGGACGGUACUGACGCCGAGACGCGAAAGCGUGGGGAGCGAACAGG